rnacentral:misc_RNA from 1 species
GAUGAAGAACGCAGCGAAAUGCGAUAAGUAAUGUGAAUUGCAGAAUUCAGUGAAUCAUCGAAUCUUUGAACGCACAUUGCGCCCCCUGGUAUUCCGGGGGGCAUGCCUGUCCGAGCGUCAUUACAACCCUCAAGCUCAGCUUGGUAUUGGGCCCCGCCGACCCGGCGGGCCCUAAAGUCAGUGGCGGUGCCGUCCGGCUCCGAGCGUAGUAAUUCUUCUCGCUCUGGAGGUCCGGUCGUGUGCUCGCCAGCAACCCCCAAUUUUUUUCAGGUUGACCUCGGAUCAGGUAGGGAUACCCGCUGAACUUAAGCAUAUCAAUAAGCGAGA